GAACGAACGCUGGCGGCGUGCUUAACACAUGCAAGUCGAACGAGAAGCCUUCUUCGGAAGGUGGACAGUGGCAGACGGGUGAGUAACGCGUGGCAACCUACCCUUCACUACGGGACAACAGUUGGAAACGACUGCUAAUACCGUAUACGUCCUCCGGGAGAAAGAUUUAUCGGUGAUGGAUGGGGCCGCGUUAGAUUAGCUUGUUGGUGGGGUAAUGGCCUACCAAGGCGACGAUCUAUAGCUGGUCUGAGAGGAUGAUCAGCCACACUGGGACUGAGACACGGCCCAGACUCCUACGGGAGGCAGCAGUGGGGAAUAUUGGACAAUGGGCGCAAGCCUGAUCCAGCAACGCCGCGUGAAUGAUGAAGGCCUUAGGGUUGUAAAAUUCUUUCGCUAGGGAAGAUAAUGACUGUACCUAGUAAAGAAGCCCCGGCUAACUCCGUGCCAGCAGCCGCGGUAAUACGGAGGGGGCUAGCGUUGUUCGGAAUUACUGGGCGUAAAGCGUGCGUAGGCGGAUUAAUAAGUUAGAUGUGAAAUCCCAGGGCUCAACCCUGGAACUGCAUUUAAAACUGUUAGUCUUGAGUUCUGGAGAGGUAAGUGGAAUUCCUAGUGUAGAGGUGAAAUUCGUAGAUAUUAGGAGGAACACCAGAGGCGAAGGCGGCUUACUGGACAGAUACUGACGCUGAGGCACGAAAGUGUGGGGAGCAAACAGGAUUAGAUACCCUGGUAGUCCACACCGUAAACGAUGAGAGCUAGUUGUCUGCAAGCAUGCUUGUAGGUGACGCAGCUAACGCAUUAAGCUCUCCG
rnacentral:rRNA from 1 species